GGGGCAUAGCUCAGCUGGCUAGAGCGUCGGCUUUGCAAGCCGGAUGUCCGGGGUUCGAAUCCCCGUGCCUCC
rnacentral:tRNA from 1 species